rnacentral:tRNA from 1 species
GGGGCAUUAGCUCAGUUGGUAGAGCGCUUCGUUCGCAAUGAAGAGGUCAGGAGUUCGAGCCUCCUAUGCUCCACCA